UUCAUACAGCCUUUGGGGUGACGGGUGGCGCAAUGGGAUCAGGUGCCUCCAAGGGCAUCCCAUCUGAUCCCACAACCUCACCCAUCACCCCAAAGGCCUACUGCUCCU
ensembl:miRNA